AUAAAAUGCACGUAGAUCCGUACUUUGUAUGUAGGCUGGUUACACCGCGAUUGUGUUCAACCCAAGUCUGGUGUGCGUAUAAUGGAGAAUUAUACGCCAGCGGUUUGCAGUCACGACGAGCCUGCGAUCGGGUACGCAACAUUUUAUACUCCUUGGCAACGCGGCUCGCUGGAGGACGCUAAAAGGUUCGGACACCCUCGCUAUCACCGGGUACCGGUAGGUACGUUAAUGAUUCGCGUCGCUGCAGAACCAACUGGAGUGGAUGUAAUCGGGAGUAGUCGGUGUCCGAUGGGCUGACCUGACGAAAAGAGACGGGGGCAACCUUCGGGAUCAAGAAUUCCCUGCCCAGUCGAAUCGAGGCUGCAAGGCGUGACGUAUUUCCUACAUCUUAAAUCCGACACACCCCGAGAGACACGCGUGACGAGGAGAGGCUAUCUAUUUGUGCGUGUCGAAGAGGCUAAUUUUAGUAGGUAUGAGAAGCUAGUUAUGUACGGACUGUUGACCACCGAUGCGAGAGGAAGCAAGAAGUCAUCGCGGCCUGACCUCGUACGGAUAUCAACUUUCGGCUUGCUUGGAUACAACGACGAAAACAAACCGAGUGCGAAGGUUGGACU